UGCCCUAGUAACGGCGAGUGAAGCGGCAAGAGCUCAAAUUUGAAAUCUGGCGCCCCACUAGGGCGUCCGAGUUGUAAUUUGGAGAGGCACUUUGGGGUGAGGCGCGGGUCCAAGUCCCCUAGAACGGGGCGCCGCAGAGGGUGAGAGCCCCGUAUCCGGCCCGCCGUCCGAGCCCGUGUCAUGUGUCUUCGACGAGUCGAGUUGUUUGGGAAUGCAGCUCAAAUUGGGUGGUAAAUUUCAUCUAAAGCUAAAUACCGGCGGGAGACCGAUAGCGCACAAGUAGAGUGAUCGAAAGAUGAAAAGCACUUUGAAAAGAGAGUUAAAAAGUACGUGAAAUUGUUGAAAGGGAAGCGCUUGAGAUCAGACUUGGCGGUGGGUGAUCAGCGGUCCUUCUGGGCCGUGCACUCGCACACCGGCAUGCCAGCAUCGGUUGCGGCGGCGGGAGAAAGGCAACGGGAAUGUGGCUCCCCUCGGGGAGUGUUAUAGCCCGGGGCGCAAUGCCGCCAGUCGCGACCGAGGACCGCGCCUUUGUGCAAGGAUGCUUGGCUUAAUGGUCUUCAGCGACCCGUCUUGAAACACGGACCAAGGAGUCUAACAUCUAUGCGAGUGUUUGGGCGAUUAAACCCUUGCGCGUAAUGAAAGUGAACGGAGGUGGGAACCCGUCAAGGGCGCACCAUCGACCGAUCCUGAUGUCUUCGGAUGGAUUUGAGUAGGAGCAUAGCUGUUGGGACCCGAAAGAUGGUGAACUAUGCCUGAAUAGGGUGAAGCCAGAGGAAACUCUGGUGGAGGCUCGCAGCGGUUCUGACGUGCAAAUCGAUCGUCAAAUUUGGGUAUAGGGGCGAAAGACUAAUCGAACCAUCUAGUAGCUGG
rnacentral:rRNA from 1 species